ensembl:lncRNA
CCCUCCCGCCGCUCCCUUCCCUUUAUAGCUUCGUGUCCCCGCCCACUCCUCCCCGCCGGGGCGCGCUGAUUGGUUCGGCGCCGGAAGGGGCGGGGCAAAAGGCGGAAGGAACCAAUGGGGGGGUAUAGGGGGUCCCUCGCUGGGAGCGCUAUAGGGGCGGCGGCGGCGCCUAUGGACGGGUGAGGGACCUCAUAGGAACCCCAUAAAGACCCUCAGCCAUUAACAGGGACCCUAUAGGAAUCCCCACCGGGUUCUUUUCGCUUAUGAGGACCCUAUAGAAUCCUCACAGGGGUGCUUACUCACCCCCGUUCUCCUAUAGGGACCCCAUAAGGGCUCCCAGGGGCCUUCAUUCCUCUAUAGGGGCCCUAUAGAAACCCCAUAGGGGCCCUUAUUGACCCCCAUUCUCCUAUGGGAACCCCAUAAGGACCCCCAGUGGCCUUCAUUCCCCUAUAGGGGCCCUAUAUAAACCCCAUAUGGGCCCUCACUGACUCCCAUAGGAACCCCAUAAGGGCCCAAAGUGGCCUUUAUUCCCUUAUAGUGACCCUAUAGAAACCCCAUAGGGGCCCUCACUGACUCCCAUAGGAACCCCAUAAGGGCCCAAAGUGGCCUUUAUUCCCUUAUAGUGACCCUAUAGAAACCCCAUAGGGGCCCUCACUGACCCCCAUUCUCCUAUGGGAACCCCAUAGGGACCCUCCAUGGCCUUCAAUCCCCUAUAGGGGCCUUAUAGAAACCCCACAGGGGCCCUCACUGACCCCCAUUCUCCUAUGGGAACCCCAUAAGGGCCCGAAGUGGCCUUUAUUCCCUUAUAGUGACCCUAUAGAAACCCCAUAGGGGCCCUCACUGACUCCCAUUCUCCCAUAGGAACCCCAUAGGGACCCCCAGUGGCCUUCAGUCCCCUAUAGGGGCCCUAUAGAAACCCCAUAAGGGCCCUCACUGACUCCCAUAGGAACCCCAUAAGGGCCCAAAGUGGCCUUUAUUCCCUUAUAGUGACCCUAUAGAAACCCCAUAGGGGCCCUCACUGACCCCCAUUCUCCUAUCGGAACCCCAUAGGGACCCCCAGUGGCCUUUAUUCCCUUAUAGUGACCCUAUAGAAACCCCAUAGGGGCCCUUAUUGACCCC